rnacentral:rRNA from 1 species
UACGGAGGGGACUAGCGUUGUUCGGAAUUACUGGGCGUAAAGCGCACGUAGGCGGAUUUGUAAGUCAGGGGUGAAAUCCCGGGGCUCAACCUCGGAACUGCCUUUGACACUGCAAAUCUCGAGUCCGGAAGAGGUGAGUGGAAUUCCUAGUGUAGAGGUGAAAUUCGUAGAUAUUAGGAAGAACACCAGUGGCGAAGGCGGCUCACUGGUCCGGUACUGACGCUGAGGUGCGAAAGCGUGGGGAGCAAACAGG